CUCUGCCCAACCCGACUUGGGAGGACAAGAACAUGGGCCACUGCAUCCCCUGCUGCAGUUUGUGGAGUGGGUGAGCGACCUCGUGCCCCAGCCCUUGUUCCCCAACCCUGCAGGUGGCCCCACAGCCCCUGUGGUUCUCAGACUCCGUUGCCAAUGAGCGGAAGCUGGCGGAGCUGCCCCUCCACCUGCUGCAUGCCGGGCGCACCAGGGAGCUGCUGCAGGAUGUGCUGGGUGACAUGAGCUGGCUGUCCUGCCGGCUGCUGUCUGGUGGCCUCGAUGCCCUGCUGGACGAUGUGGACCUGUGUGUGCCCCACGUGGAC
rnacentral:lncRNA from 1 species